rnacentral:lncRNA from 1 species
AACGCAUCUAGGCAAAGUGUGGACCCGACCAGGCGGGUUUUCCUCCUUCUCGCAACUCCUCCUCCUGCCCCCCUCCCUCCCAAAUCUCAUCUGAGUGAGUCAGCUGAGGGUGGCAGCUCAGAAGCGAGGCAGCCGUGAGGCGGAGGACAGGCUGGGGGAUCCCAAAGGGUGCGCUCCAGCCCCCAACCCAGGCACUGGGACUCUGGUGGCACCCUGGGUGGCAGGCAAGCCUUGAAAUCAAGUGCACGAGCCUUGGAAAGGAGGACCGGGAGAGUUAUGGCAUUUAUGAAUGAAGAAGAGAAAGAGAAUCACUCGGAUGGGAAAAGUUAACUGGAUUGUUCCCACCUGCAUGGAUCACCGGGAUGAAGCUGUGCCACCCUGUAGGAAUUAGAAGACCAUGUCCAGGAAUUGAGCACUGGGUGCAGGAUCCAGUCUUCUGAGGCCCUGAAACCACAUGGUGAGAAGUUGAAGGUCACACAGCUGGGUCACCAUAGUGCGCUUCAUGGGGUGGGAAGUGGUGGCCUCUAAGUGUCUAUCAACUGUGAAGACUGCAAAGAGGGAUCCAUGGCUGUUGGAGCAAUGAGAUACGCGAUGACGUAGACAGAUCCGGAAAGCGCAUCGUCUCCUGAGCAGAAGGGCACUCAUGGGUCCUAAUAUGCUAUUUAGAAAAUACAAAGUGGAAAGAAGAAAAAUGAAAGUCACGCAUCGUCCUUCAACCCGGGGACAACUCCUGCUAACACUCGGAUGGAUGAAUUUCACAUAUACAUAUAAAUAUUCUCAUCUACAGUCAAAUUUAAUAAUGUGAAUGCCUUAAUAAACCACUAAUUCUUCAAUUUCACUUGUCAGAAGCAACUUAGCCGUCUCGCCUUGCGGCCUGGAACCCCUGGCAAUUUCCGGAGCACCGGCAAGAGACUUUUGCACAGUUUCUGCUUGGAGUCUACCGACUGUCUGUCUCAGAGGUCUGGACAGCUGCUUGUUACAUUUGGCUCACGCUAGCUUAAAAAAGGAAUUUAUGGACCUUACUGCAGAACGUCCCAAUUCUUCAGGCCAAGGUAAAUGCAAGUUGGGGUGGUAGUGAAGUUGCAAACUGCCCCUAAGAAAAAAGGUUAACAAGAUAUUGUUCCUUCCACCCCCGGCCUCCCGUUGGUUCCCCCACCCCAAGAGCCUUCCCACCAGGCUUCAGGGUGACAAACGCUUGGAUUUGAUGGGGCUGAGACUUGCUUGUGCCUUUGUUGAUGGCAGGGCACUUUUAUUGAAACUUGUUGAAAGGAGCUAGCUUCGAAGGCUCCUCCAAGAUUCUACACCACAGGGGGAAGCAGGACUUUGAUUUAAGAUACUCACAUCUGUCAACCACAGGCAUUCAUUCAGUUUUCUCUUUCAUUUGGGGAAGGAAGGGAGAAAAUGAAUCAGAGGCUGAUUUUUUUUUUUCUGGCCUGUUUUCCCCAAGCUCCAGGAAAUUAAGAAACAUGCCAUUAGUUUUAGCAAACAAUUUGAACAAAGUAAAACCAGAUCUCCCACCAAAGGCCGAGGACCAUGAGGGGUCUGAGUGCCCCUGGCCCUGUUUGUGGACUCUGCGGGUCGUGGAGGAGCCAUGAAGUGGGAAGAGAGCUUGGGUGAUACAGGAUGGUGUGCGUGACAGUCCUCCCUGUGUCUUCUUUGCUACCAUAUUUAUCAUAGCUUAGAUGUGUGUGGCCUGGUGGCACCAAAGGUGAACAGAAAGCAUUUUUGGGGCGCCAUGGCCCAGACCUCAGCCUGAACGUUGUGGGAAGCCAGUGGGUGUCUGCAUGUGUUGGCGAGAACCAGUGGGCAUCUCCUUGGAAGCCAGUCCCCAAGGUGGCUCUAGAUGGCUUACUCCUGCAUCUUGCCAAAUCCACAGGGUCCAGCUGUGUCUCCAGGGCUGCGUGGCUUAUUGAAAAAGAGAGUGUAUGGUGGAUUUCAAUAUCUAUAUUCUACAAAAAAUGUAAAAGGGGCAGGGGACGGGAACAAAGAAACCAGUGCUGGUGAUCCUGCCCCCACAGUAAGGUCUGCUUUAGUGUGGACAUGGGACAGGGGCCAGCCCCUGCUGCUCCCUGGGGGAACACAGGUCCGUGGGGGUGGCUCACCGUCAUGUAUGUGAUUUUGAUGUUUGUACAUUUGUUGUACCACAUGAACCAGUCUUGGACGGCUGUUCUGAGUAAAUGGGAUGAUGUGGGUAAAGCCCCCAAGACCAGAGCCUGGCACAGGGCCGUGCUGGAUAAUGCUGACUCAUGGUGAUGAGGGGAAGGAGGAGGCAGGAUGCCAUGGGUGAGGAGUCCAGGCUCCAGUGCUGCUGAACCACCAUCCACCAGUAUGAUCUCAGCAAGCCUCUCUCCACCUGGACCCAGAUGAUUCACCCGUUAAACAUCCCAGGCACAUUGAAGGGAGAUGAACAGCGUCCAGCAUGGUCCUCAGCUGUGAGAAGCCAUACACUCGCCUUUUCCACCCUACAACUUUCCGUCAUCUGGGGUGCAGGUUUCUUUCCUCUCUUUUUACUUAUUACAAGGUAAAAUACAGUCUUAUUACAGAAAACUAGAAACCAGAAAAGCCCAUCACACAGUCAUUCAUUCAACAAAUGCGUAUUGGGAAGGGUGGGGAUGAGCCCCUGGUGGAAAUGGGGUGAAGCUGUGGACUUUCUCUGGGUGCGAUGAAGGCUGACGGAGGGCUUUGAGCAUCCUCAAGAUUCAGAAGUCUGUUCUCAGUCAUCAGCAGCUGUACCAGGAGAGGAAGAACCUCUGAAGUGUUCUGGCUCCAAAAGCUAGUGAAAGUGCAGAUUUCCUGAGAAGGAGUGAAGCUUAGGGCCCUGCCAGGCAGUGAUGCUUUCUCAACUUUGGGGGCAGUAAAAUGUACAGACUCUGGGGAAGGAGACCAGGAAGGAGGCUGCAAAGUGUGCAUGCUCUGGGAAGGGGGCAGGGAAGGCUGGCAAAAAGCUGUUGGGGACCCAGCCAGGCUGCUUCCCUUGGAGGCCCAGCCUGAGAUGUGUUUCCCACCAUAUAUGGCAGAAAUGAUUUCAGGUGCUAUGUAGAUAAGCCACGAACUAUCAUUGAAUCUUUUCUUGGUUGUAUUGUGAAAGAAAAAGUCUCUGUUGGGUGCUGGUGUAUCUUCGACACCACUUAACACUUGUCAAGCUCUCCUUUACUGAGGUAAAGCAGUCCUCAGGCUCAGAGCUUGUGACCAGGGAGCGGUAUCUAGCCAAAAUUUUAUUUCAAUGCUUUGUUUUCAUUGUCUUUAAAACAAAAGAUGGUUAUCUUCCAUUUGCCAUGAUGCCUGUGUUCCUGCUCGGUUUCUGGAUUGCUUGGUACUUAAAUGAAACAUCUUAUUAAUCAUUUCCCGGGAAUGCUGUGCAGGCAAAAGGAAAACAAAGGCAUUCAGGAGCCACAGAAAAGUGUACUGGCUCCUGUCCUGGAUCAACUCAGAAAAUGAAACACAUCGGAUUCUGUCCAGGCCGGGCACAGCAACCUGGCCCAUCCAUGUGGAGCCUGCAGUGACCACUUCCGCUGUCUGCACAAAACUGGAGGGAGGCUGGGGGUGCUCCAAGUAUAAGUUUCCUCAUCAGCAAACCGGAAAGAGAAAGACCGACCUGGAGGCUGGUUAUGGGGAUAAAAUAAAUAUGUCCUUAUAUAUGUGUAUAAAGCCCCAGCACAAACAGCAGUCGCCGCAUGGGUCAGGGAGGCACUGCUUGGAGCCUUAUGUGACCGUGUUCUCACAUUAUCUUCCAACUGGUUUGGGAGACAGGUACUGCUAUGAUCUCUGUAUUACACAGAAGCAAACUGAAGUGUCUUGAACAAGUCAGCAAAGAAAAACAGUUCCGCCUUUGGAAUGUAUGAAAAUGAAGACCGUUGCAGGAGGUCUUGAGCCACAGAGCUGGCUCCAGAGGCAUUGGGAGGAGAAACGCGGCAGGCCUGGCUCACUCAUUAUAUUUCAAGAUCUAUCCCAGCUUGUCACAACAUGGACUGUGUAACUGAGACGAUUCGCGGUUGGUGUUCCCAUGCUGAGGCAUGUGCUGCCCCGGCCCUUGGUUGCUGCGCAAUUUGCUCUCUAUGGACUGUACCUGGGGUGCCUACCCUGGACUUCAGACAAGCUUCUUCAAGAGUAGCCCCUGCCAGAGCUGGAGCCAACAGCAAGAGCAGCCCAGGGCCACUCUGCCCAGGCUCAGAGGCAUCACUGGGAAAGAGGCAGGGGCAGAAGGAACUGGGGCGGGAAGCCCUGAAGGGUGUCGAGUCCCAGGACAAGGGACUGGGGUGUGUCCCAGCAGACCCCCAGGGAAGCAGCAGCUUUGGACUCGCCUGACCCAACCCCUUGCUGCCAGACAGGCUUAAAUUGCCCCAACUUUCCCCAUGAAGCUCGGACAGGAGGACGGAGGAGCAACUGCCUUCUGGGGUCAGAGUCUGUCCCCGCUCCUGCAGGCCGGAAGCACGUGCGGUCAGCGGUGGGCCAGAGCCUCUCAGCCUCUCAGCAAGGGCCUUCCUGUAGCUCUCGGCUCCUCCAACAGCCCCAUCCCUUAGCACAGGCGGGGCUGGCGGAGCACUGCAGGGGCCAGGUGCAGCCACCGUGCAGCAAGGCACAGCUGCCUGAUCAAACCAGAUCAAAAGCCAUUCGAUCAUCCAAGGACUAUUUUCAUUCGAUAUUUAUUGAUUUCUACCACUCGCUGGGGCUGUACAGGGCCCUGAGCUUGCCGUGAGGAGCACAUUUCAGCCCCCACCCCCUCGGGGCUCACAGUCUGGUAGAGGAAGCACAUGAAAUAAAAGAAUUUGCACAUGUAAAUAUCUCAUUACAAAUGCGCAAGAGCCAUGAAGGAAAAAAAAAGAACACGAUGGGAGGUAAUCACAAAGUCCACUUAUUUUAGACAAAGUGGUUGGCGACAGCCACAUUUUUGCCAAGACCUAAAGGAUGGGCAACAGUAAAAAUAAAAAUCAUCAUCAUCG